GUGAGGAAUAUUGGUCAAUGGGCGAAAGCCUGAACCAGCCAUGUCGCGUGAAGGAUGAAGGUCCUAUGGAUUGUAAACUUCUUUUGCAGGAGGGUAAAGUGAGCUACGUGUAGUUCAUUGCAAGUACCCUGCGAAUAAGCAUCGGCUAACUCCGUGCCAGCAGCCGCGGUAAUACGGAGGAUGCGAGCGUUAUCCGGAUUUAUUGGGUUUAAAGGGUGCGUAGGCGGACUAAUUAGUCAGCGGUGAAAUUUUGCGGCUCAACCGUAAAACUGCCGUUGAAACUGUUAGUCUUGAGUGCGGUAGAGGUAGGCGGAAUGUGUGGUGUAGCGGUGAAAUGCUUAGAUAUCACACAGAACACCGAUUGCGUAGGCAGCUUACUGGAGCGCAACUGACGCUGAGGCACGAAAGCGUGGGGAUCGAACAGGAUUAGAAACCCCGGUAGUCC
rnacentral:rRNA from 1 species